UACUUACAGUAGCUCCAUGGAUACAAAGGAGUCAGGAUGGUCCUUUCAAAAGUCUAUCAAUGACGAUUCUUGAAGAUACGUCAAGAGAACCCGUUAUUUUGACGUCAGUGACCUCCCUCGUUUGGUUUACUGGUAUAUAGAUGAUGAGUCUAGUGCCCCCAAGACCUCAGGAACCGCACACGUUCAUACGGGUUGGACGGUAUAGAGAUACGACGCCUAAAAUAGUUCCAGAAUGUUCUUGUUGUACGUAGGUUGUGGAUGCGUUUUUACCCAAACUACGAACGUCUGGAGUUAUAAAUACAGUGUUGUCGUAGAUUACGUCUUCUUUCGUGGACCCCAUGUAUGACGGGUCCUUACCUCGGUAGCGGAGGAAGACUCAUAUAAUGGACGAAUCCACUAGAGAUGUCAUAAAGGACCUACCUUCUGUCUUUAUCGUAGCCGACGUAUCUACCUCGCGGCUAGACCUCCGGGGACUAGCCUUCCCUUCGGUGACCUCGACGACGCCCUCUACCACCGCCAUGCGACCAUCUCGAACCUCGUCUGCACCUCCCCGGCCUGGACGACCAGGAACUUCCACGACUUCAAACAAAAUUUCCAAACGGUACAAAGAAAUUUUAAAUAGGCAACUUAAACAUACAGACGAGGUGACCCGACGACGACGUUCGAAAGUACAAACCGAGAACGUGGUAACAAAGUAUAAACACAUGUACAUGAUUCUUUUCCUUGCCGAACACAAGGUGCUACAUGGACAUAACGCCGUACUAGGUUCCUCACCCAGUGACGUAUAUAGGACUGUACUGACCAGAAAAUAACAAUAGAAGAACCCUCAUGAACUCUUCCGCACCGCCCCUUCCACCCCUGUGCGGUACCGUCUCCGGUCACCGUUUGGAUGCACAUUCGGGACUCCAGGCCCCUUCCAGCCUCUGACUACACCUACGCGUUCCCGUCGCGACCGGAGACGGAUCUUCCCGUUAGUGUCACAUGUCUCGAGAUCGUCGUGAUGCGGCAGUAGGAGACGGAGUGGGGCCGGCGUACUUAAAGUUCUCUACGUUCCUUCAUCCUCCUUCUUCUUUACGUCCGCUGGAGUACUUUCAGUGUCGUCGUUUCUAGGUGUCUAACGUUAGACAAUAACAAUAGAAGAACCCUCAUGAACUCUUCCGCACCGCCCCUUCCACCCCUUUGCGGUACCGUCUCCGGUCACCGUUUGGAUGCAGUGUUUUUGUGUUAUUGUCAACCCUCCCGACGAAAUAUAGGGAUCUGGGGGUGGGUGUGGACUGGCGGUAGAGGGAGAAAGGAGCCAUAGUAUUGGACUACGCUGCAACCGCCGCGUCGUCAGGCCUCCUCCGGUCGUCACGGCUGCUGCCGAGACGCUACCCCUUUCCCUUCUCUGUACUAGUAUAGCUAGUGGUCAGUACCUCAGUUCACCAACAACAGCAGUUCGAUUUACAACGCACCUACGUCCACCUACACCCGCGGCGCCGACGGUGGUUCCUACAUCCCCAGUACGAUGUUGGCCCUCAAUUGACCUUUUAUAAUAAGGAUCGGUGAUUGCACACCCGAUGAACGUAGGACCGUACGGUACAUCCGUCUCAAAAAUCGUGGCUCAACUUGUAGAUAACCCACAAGGCGUUGAGGCAGCCGCUCAGGCCUGGCUCCAACGCCUCGGUCCCGCUCGCAGCAUCUGCUUCAUCAGCUUCAUCAGCUUGUGCGCUUUCCUGAUUCCCCAGUUCCCUAUUCAUGGGUGAAUUGCAUUUCUCCCCUUUGCCCUCCCCGGUCGGGCACGCUAAACGUGCGCCGACGGCGGUGGGAGGGCCUACCGGGCCAAAGGGUUGUGAGGGGGAACCCAUU
rnacentral:rRNA from 1 species